CCUACGGGUGGCAGCAGUGGGGAAUAUUGCACAAUGGGGGAAACCCUGAUGCAGCGACGCCGCGUGAGUGAAGAAGUAAUUCGUUAUGUAAAGCUCUAUCAGCAGGGAAGAAGAAAUGACGGUACCUGAGUAAGAAGCACCGGCUAAAUACGUGCCAGCAGCCGCGGUAAUACGUAGGGUGCGAGCGUUAUCCGGAUUUACUGGGUGUAAAGGGAGCGUAGGGGGCACGGCAAGCCUGAUGUGAAAGCCCGCGGCCCAACCGGGGGACUGCAUUGGGAACUACCGGGCUGGAGUGCCGGAGAGGUAGGCGGAAUUCCUAGUGGAGCGGUGAAAUGCGGAGAUAUUAGGAAGAACACCAGUGGCGAAGGCAGCCUACUGGACGGUGACUGACGCUGAGGCUCGAAAGCGUGGGAAGCAAACAGGAUUAGAUACCCCUGUAGUC
rnacentral:rRNA from 1 species